GAAUGGCUCAUUAAAUCAGUUAUCGUUUAUUUGAUAGUACCUACUACAUGGAUAACCGUGGUAAUUCUAGAGCUAAUACAUGCUAAAAACCCCGACGGAAGGGGUGUAUUUAUUAGAUAAAAAACCAAUGCCCUUCGGGGCUCCUUGGUGAAUCAUAAUAACUUAACGAAUCGCAUGGCCUUGCGCCGGCGAUGGUUCAUUCAAAUUUCUGCCCUAUCAACUUUCGAUGGUAGGAUAGUGGCCUACCAUGGUAUCAACGGGUAACGGGGAAUUAGGGUUCGACUCCGGAGAGGGAGCCUGAGAAACGGCUACCACAUCCAAGGAAGGCAGCAGGCGCGCAAAUUACCCAAUCCCGACACGGGGAGGUAGUGACAAUAAAUACUGAUACAGGGCUCUUUUGGGUCUUGUAAUUGGAAUGAGUACAAUUUAAAUCCCUUAACGAGGAACAAUUGGAGGGCAAGUCUGGUCCAGCAGCCGCGGUAAUUCCAGCUCCAAUAGCGUAUAUUAAAGUUGUUGCAGUUAAAAAGCUCGUAGUUGAACCUUGGGCCUGGCUGGCCGGUCCGCCUCACCGCGUGUACUGGUCCGGCCGGGCCUUCCUUCUGGGGAACCUCAUGCCCUUCACUGGGCGUGCGGGGACCAGGACUUUUACUUUGAAAAAAUUAGAGUGUUCAAAGCAGGCUU
rnacentral:rRNA from 1 species